rnacentral:rRNA from 1 species
UCGGCUUAGAGUUUGAUCAUGGCUCAGGACGAACGCUGGCGGCGUGUCUAAUACAUGCAAGUCGAACGAAUUGGUGCUUGCAUCAUUGAGUGGCGAACUGGUGAGUAACACGUGGGAAACCUGCCCAGAAGCGGGGGAUAACACCUGGAAACAGAUGCUAAUACCGCAUAACAACUUGACCGCAUGGUCCGAGUUGAAAGAUGUUCGUAUCACUUUUGGAUGGUCCCGCGGCGUAUUAGCUAGAUGGUGGGGUAACGGCUCACCAUGGCAAUGAUACGUAGCCGACCUGAGAGGGUAAUCGGCCACAUUGGGACUGAGACACGGCCCAAACUCCUACGGGAGGCAGCAGUAGGGAAUCUUCCACAAUGGACGAAAGUCUGAUGGAGCAACGCCGCGUGAGUGAAGAAGGGUUUCGGCUCGUAAAACUCUGUUGUUAAAGAAGAACAUAUCUGAGGUAAUUCAGGUAUUGACGGUAUUUAACCAGAAAGCCACGGCUAACUACGUGCCAGCAGCCGCGGUAAUACGUAGUGGCAAGCGUUGUCCGGAUUUAUUGGGCGUAAAGCGAGCGCAGCGGUUUUUUAAGUCUGAUGUGAAAGCCUUCGGCUCAACCGAAGAAGUGCAUCGGAAACUGGGAAACUUGAGUGCAGAAGAGA